UGCAAGUCGAGCGGACCGACGGGAGCUUGCUCCCUUAGGUCAGCGGCGGACGGGUGAGUAACACGUGGGUAACCUGCCUGUAAGACUGGGAUAACUCCGGGAAACCGGGGCUAAUACCGGAUGCUUGAUUGAACCGCAUGGUUCAAUCAUAAAAGGUGGCUUUUAGCUACCACUUACAGAUGGACCCGCGGCGCAUUAGCUAGUUGGUGAGGUAACGGCUCACCAAGGCGACGAUGCGUAGCCGACCUGAGAGGGUGAUCGGCCACACUGGGACUGAGACACGGCCCAGACUCCUACGGGAGGCAGCAGUAGGGAAUCUUCCGCAAUGGACGAAAGUCUGACGGAGCAACGCCGCGUGAGUGAUGAAGGUUUUCGGAUCGUAAAACUCUGUUGUUAGGGAAGAACAAGUACCGUUCGAAUAGGGCGGUACCUUGACGGUACCUAACCAGAAAGCCACGGCUAACUACGUGCCAGCAGCCGCGGUAAUACGUAAGUGGCAAGCGUUGUCCGGAAUUAUUGGGCGUAAAGCGCGCGCAGGCGGUUUCUUAAGUCUGAUGUGAAAGCCCCCGGCUCAACCGGGGAGGGUCAUUGGAAACUGGGGAACUUGAGUGCAGAAGAGGA
rnacentral:rRNA from 1 species